rnacentral:rRNA from 1 species
AACGUAGGACACAAGCGUUAUCCGGAGUUACUGGGCGUAAAGGGCGCGUAGGCGGUCGUGACAAGUCACUUGUGAAAUCUCCGGCUUAACUCGGAACGGUCAAGUGAUACUGUCGGACUAGAGUACAGAAGGGGCAACUGGAAUUCUCGGUGUAGCGGUGAAAUGCGUAGAUAUCGGGAAGAACGACCCGUGGCGAAGGCGGUUCUACUGGGACGGUACUGACGCUGAGACGCGAAAGCGUGGGGGAGCGAACAGG